GGGGAUGUGGUCCAGUGGUUAAGACACUUGACUCCUAGUGUGAUCUUCUGAUGCACCCCAUGAUCACUCGUGAUCAUGACGGUACAUACAAACAGAUCUACCGUGAGUUCAUGAGAUGAUAGUUCGAAUCUAUCCAUCCUCG
rnacentral:tRNA from 1 species